UUCCUCGUCUCUAUUUUUACCACCUCUUCCCUCGUUCUUACCAUCCUCUUUAUAUCUGUCUUCCUCUUCACUUCCUUUUAGCUAUCACGAACUUCCUCCUUUUGUGCAAACUUCGAAUGUAAUCCUUCUAAUUCAACCUCAAAAUCAUUCCCUAACUUAUCCAUCAACUACACUCGCUUGGUAAUGGCGCAACAUGGCCGUCGAAACUAUUUAAAUAUCAUUGCUUCAUUUCCAGUCUCGUUCCUCGGUCAGGUGGUUCGCCAGGUUCGAGUCUCUGAUAGCUGAGGCUUCACAGGGUUUAGUGUUUAGCUAACCGCUGUGGAGGUCUAUUCCGGAUGGCUGACGCGGAUCAUGAAGAACAAGAACAACCAGUGAAGUCAAGUUGCCGGCGACCACUUGAAGAUCAGCGGCUGGGAGGAAGGAAGGAUGUCAUCUCGCAUCACUUCGGUUCUUCGUCAUGGAAUCCUGUGGGUCGUGAGGGUGGCUAUGGUAUCCUGAUCCGCCUUUUGAUAUGGAGCUGUUGGUGAGGGAAGUGUGCCUACGAGAGCUGACCACAAAACCUGCAAGUGUGACAGAGUCGAAGUGUAGAACGAAGAGGAGUUUGUCAAGUCUUCGCUAAUUGUUGAUUACUUCUGGAGGAGCGUCCCCACGUAGGCGACGGUACACUUGGGGUGUGUGUGAGAGGGAACAGGAAACUAUGCAGUGUAAGGAUGUGAAUACCAUAGUUGGAAUGUGUAAUUCACAAGUAAGGGGCACAAUAUAGAAGAGGCUGGUAUAUGGAUUCCAACUGUGGUAUUCACACCUUUACUGCACAGUUUGUUUAUUCCCUCUCGCAUGCACCAAAGUGUACCGUCACCGCCGUGGGAUGGUCCAUCUUCUGGAAGUAAUGAACAUUUGUGACGAGUCCGUUGACAGUGAAGAGGUGCAGCAGUACCUAAGAGAGAAGAGGAGGGAGAAUACUGAAAUGCAAGAGAUGUUGGAUUGAUGGCUGCUGCAGCUGCUAUCAACGUCACUGUCAUUGGAUAUCUUCUUGGCCUUCAACACUGCUGAUGGGAUCGGCAAGCACCUGCGAACAACACCAAUUAUCAAUGGAAACACAGAAACCUUUUCUAACAAAAAU